rnacentral:rRNA from 1 species
AUUGAACGCUGGCGGCAGGCCUAACACAUGCAAGUCGAACGGUAACAGGAAGAAGCUUGCUUCUUUGCUGAUGAGUGGCGGACGGGUGAGUAAUGUCUGGGAAACUGCCUGAUGGAGGGGGAUAACUACUGGAAACGGUAGCUAAUACCGCAUAACGUCGCAAGACCAAAAAGGGGGACCUUCGGGCCUCUUGCCAUCGGAUGUGCCCAGAUGGGAUUAGCUAGUAGGUGGGGUAACGGCUCACCUAGGCGACGAUCCCUAGCUGGUCUGAGAGGAUGACCAGCCACACUGGAACUGAGACACGGUCCAGACUCCUACGGGAGGCAGCAGUGGGGAAUAUUGCACAAAGGGCGCAAGCCUGAUGCAGCCAUGCCGCGUGUAUGAAGAAGGCCUUCGGGUUGUAAAGUACUUUCAGCGGGGAGGAAGGGAGUAAAGUUAAUACCUUUGCUCAUUGACGUUACCCGCAGAAGAAGCACCGGCUAACUCCGUG